rnacentral:lncRNA from 1 species
GAGCUUUAUUAAUGUUUUCAAGGAGAGAAUAAUAAUUUUCUACAAGAAAUCUGGUGAAUUUGAGAUUCUCAAGUCUAGAUGACAGCUGGAAUCAUCUUCUCUAAACAAUGCAUUGGCCCUCAGAUUUUCUAGUUGCAUGUGACCAAGAUUUGCUGUAAUAGACUACUCUUUGUUAUAUGAACUAACAAAUGAGUAUUGAGUCGGCCAGAUAGAACAGGUCUCUGAAAACUGAGACUACCUAGGAAAUGAAGAAAAAAUAUCUUAGUGUCUUCAACAUCAUUCUAUUGGCAGAAAUAAGACUCAUUUUCUGGAGAGAAUUUUAAAUGGGCCCUAUUCCUCUUUGAAACAUUUGAACAGACAUAAAACACAAUUCAUCAAUUUUCCUAUCAGAUCCUUUUAUUGCAGCAGAAAAUUGUUCCAAAUAAAUUCUCGUGAUAAAGCUUGUAAUAGUGAAUACAAUAGAAUGCUGAAAGUAUUGUGUGAACAGAAAUAAUAAAUAUGGUAUCCAAACCCAUUGUAAGUUUCAGUAAAUCAUAUCCAUCAACUCAUUUCUCUUGAAUAAAAGAGAACUGUGAUUUUAUUCCUCCCUAUGGAUGUUUUUCCACUGUUUGAUAGAAAAAAAGAAAACAUGCACUAAAAUUCAAGAAAAAGGCAUAAGCCAGUGAGGAAGAG